rnacentral:rRNA from 1 species
AUUGAACGCUGGCGGCAUGCUUUACACAUGCAAGUCGAACGGCAGCAUGGGUGCUUGCACCUGAUGGCGAGUGGCGAACGGGUGAGUAAUGUAUCGGAACAUGUCCGGAAGUGGGGGAUAACGUAGCGAAAGUUACGCUAAUACCGCAUAUGCCCUGAGGGGGAAAGGAGGGGAUCGCAAGGCCUUUCGCUUUCGGAGUGGCCGAUAUCAGAUUAGCUUGUUGGUGAGGUAAAGGCUCACCAAGGCGACGAUCUGUAGCGGGUCUGAGAGGAUGAUCCGCCACACUGGGACUGAGACACGGCCCAGACUCCUACGGGAGGCAGCAGUGGGGAAUUUUGGACAAUGGGGGCAACCCUGAUCCAGCCAUGCCGCGUGAGUGAAGAAGGCCUUCGGGUUGUAAAGCUCUUUCGGACAGAAAGAAAUCGCACUUACUAAUACUGAGUGUGGAUGACGGUACUGUAGAAGAAGCACCGGCUAACUACGUGCCAGCCGCCGCCGUAAUAC